UUAGUUCCACAGCAUUGGUUCUUAUGACAGAAGUGUUGCGUGUGUUUGUCUCUGAGGCAACUGGUAGGUCUGCCAAACAAGCAAAGGAUGAAGAAACAAAUUGGGUGACCAUUGAGCAUUUGGAGAAGAUUUUGCCACAACUGCUGUUGGAUGUUUGAUGGCAGGAGAUGAUGACAGACAUGAAUAAUGGUUUAUGGAUCAGUGUGCACUUUAAUGUGCGAUAUACCAGCUCUUAAGUCUAUUUCAUCAGCUGCUUUGUGUGUCAAAUUGACAUACAAAUGGAUAAUCACUCUAUUUUGUUUACUUCUCACAUUUAAAAGCCUUUGAGAAUAACUUUCUAUACAAUCAAAAUGCACCUUUUGAUACCUUUAUGAGAUGAUGUAUGAUGUAAAGCUUCAGGCAAAGUGUAAUAUUAGCCGUUUAACUGUUUAUGUGGAUCAGUGCUUUCAAGACAUUCCUGAAUAAACAUCAUGUGAACAUAUGAAAAUUACAGUAUUCUAAUUUCUUCUACAUGCACCUGGUUAGUGGGAUACCAUGUAAAGUAAAUUACUGCCGGAUACAAGACAGCAUCUGAUCUCACAGUCACAUAAAGCUGUGAAUCAAGACAGCAUCUGAUCUCACAGUCACAUAAAGCUGUGAAUCAAGACAGCAUCUGAUCUCACAGUCACAUAAAGCUGUGAAUCAAGACAGCAUCUGAUCUCACAGUCACAUAAAGCUGUGAAUCUCCACAGACGUGUAUGAUAUUCCAGUCAGGACCAGUGGUGGGAAGAUUUACCUCUAUUCUACACUAAGUUUUAUUUUAUGUACAUUAGAAUGAAAUUUUACAUAAUUUUGUACUAUGCAUUUUUUUCUUUUGCCUCUUUGUACUUUCUAUUUUACUGCCACUUACAAUCUAGCAAGGCCACCACUGAACCAUUCACAGCAGGUGCUCACACCAGCUCCAUCAGGACCACCAGCCUCAUGUAUGGGCUGAUGCUGAAUGAUAGAGAACUGCUCAUCAUUCCAGUCUAAUCUGCCACUGAUAUGUCAUUUGACAUGUCUGUCUGUGACUGUGCAAGCUUUCCCUGUAACUGUCCCCCAAAUCUGAACAAAACUAUGAAAGAGCAUACACUGUCCAUGAACAAACUCCUGCCCAACACAUCCGGUAAAGCUGCUUUGGAAUUUCACUUCAAGAAGUAAACAAUGUGGUCAGCCUUGAGACCUCAGUAUUUUUCUUGAUGUUUGGUACUCAAGUCCCUUUGCCCUGUCUUCUCCGAACUUAAACAAGGCUGCAAGUCUGUUUGGAAGAACACCCAGCCUCAGUACUGCCAGAGGAAAAACCUGAUGAUUAAUCAGAUCUUAAAGGCCAGUUUUAGUUCUGACAAUGUAUACAUCUAUUAAUCGUCUUCACUGUUAAGGAAAAAGACAAUAAUAUAUUCCCAGUGAUUCAGGAGGGGUAGAAACAGACCUGAACGGCCACAGCCAUUUUUGGGGGGUUUUUUUAUGUGCUUGGUAGCUCAAUAAAUCAGUUGAUUCUUAGGAGCCCUAUAUUACAUACCAGAGGUGAUUAAAACAAUUUUAGCCCGACCCAGAAAAUGUAGGGCAUGGUUCCUUAUCUCUCAUAUUCUGAGAAAGCAACUUUUCUUGUGUGAAAUUUUGACUCACUAGGUUCAUUGUUGCAGACACAGUAUUUUGAGUAAAGUGAAAAAGUAAAACUCUAAAAAGGGAAUUCUUCUAAAGGAGAUCCAAGAGGGCACGGUAAAGACAUUUGGAGAUGAUGCCCCACCUUACAGGUAAAUGGUGGUCAACCAAAUUUAAG